GACGAACGCUGGCGGCGUGCUUAACACAUGCAAGUCGAGCGGUAAGGCCCUUCGGGGUACACGAGCGGCGAACGGGUGAGUAACACGUGGGUGACCUGCCCUUCACUUCGGGAUAAGCCUGGGAAACCGGGUCUAAUACCGGAUAGGACCUCCGCAUGCAUGUGCGGUGUUGGAACGUUUUUCGGUUGAGGAUGGGCCCGCGGUCUAUCAGCUUGUUGGUGGGGUGAUGGCCUACCAAGGCGACGACGGAUAGCCGGGCUGAGAGGGUGAUCGGCCACACUGGGACUGAGACACGGCCCAGACUCCUACGGGAGGCAGCAGUGGGGAAUCUUGCGCAAUGGGCGAAAGCCUGACGCAGCAACGCCGCGUGGGGGAUGACGGCCCUCGGGUUGUAAGCCUCUUUCGCGAUCGACGUAGCUCGUACUUCUGGUACGGGUGACGGUAGGUCGAGAAGAAGCACCGGCCAACUACGUGCCAGCAGCCGCCGUAA
rnacentral:rRNA from 1 species